rnacentral:sRNA from 1 species
ACUAAGGGAACUUGGGAGGAUCCCACCUCAGCCUUCGUGACUGGUGAGGGCCUCCAGAUCUGAAAGUAUAGCCUUGCGGCCUGUAUUCCAGUAGUGUUACAAUCGGUUUUUAUCGAGUGCCCACUAUGUACUGACACUGAACUAAGCGAUUUGGAUGCCUGGUCAUUUAAUCCUUGGAGCAAUCUUGAGAGGUUGCAGAGGCAGUGUUAACAUCCCAACUGAAAGCACAUCAAGAGAAACCAAAUUUUAUUAUCAAGACCCCAAAGGGUACCAGGGAUCUUAGUCCUCAGCAUAUGGUUGUGAGGGAGAAAAUUCUUGAUUUGGUUAUCAGCUGCUUUAAACGUCAUGGAGCAAAGGGGAUGGAUACCCCAGCAUUUGAGCUGAAGGAAACGCUGACUGAGAAGUAUGGAGAGGACUCUGGGCUCAUGUAUGAUCUGAAGGAUCAAGGUGGAGAGCUGUUGUCCCUCCGCUAUGACCUUACUGUUCCCUUUGCUCGUUAUCUGGCCAUGAAUAAGGUGAAGAAGAUGAAACGUUAUCAUGUUG